CUCAAUCAAAAACCUAAACCAAAACACACAAAAGCUACGAAAUAAAAGGAAAAGAAAAUCCUCCGGGUGAAGAAGAUAUUUUUUGCGGUUUUCGCGGCUGUGAGUGAAAGUUGGAAAUCUAUAGGCGGUUUUUACUACCUCGUUUAGGAUGAGGUUAAUUUCGUUUUAGCACACUCUCUCCUCUCUUUUCCUUUCUGCUACUACUACGACUACGGACUGCUGUUUUCAUUUUGAAUUUUUUGCAGAAAUUAGGGUUUGUUUGUUGCGUUGAUUUUUAAGUUCAGAUUUUGUUUUCUCUGCGAGUAAUAGCGUGUUUGAGAAUGGGUGAGGUGGUGGUGAGUAGCAGCAGUGAACAGUUGGAGGGGAUGGCGGUGGAGUUAGAGACAGAGAAGAAGGAUAUUGGAUCAUCGGAGGUGGUUCGAUGGGAAAAGUUUCUGCCAAGGAUGGUGCUCAGCGUUCUUUUGGUUGAAGCUGAUGAUUCUACUCGUCAGAUUAUUGCUGCUCUUCUCCGAAAAUGCAGUUACAGAGUUGCUGCUGUUCCUGAUGGAUUAAUGGCAUGGGAGACUUUGAAGGGUGAACCUCAUAACAUAGAUCUCAUAUUAACUGAGGUGGAGCUGCCUUUAAUAUCAGGAUAUGCACUUCUUACUUUGGUCACGGAGCAUGCUGUUUGCAAAAACAUUCCUGUCAUAAUGAUGUCUUCACAAGAUUCAAUUAGCAUGGUUCUGAAGUGCAUGUUAAAAGGAGCAGCUGACUUUCUCGUUAAGCCUGUUCGGAAGAAUGAAUUGAGGAACUUGUGGCAGCAUGUUUGGAGGAGGCAAACUCUAAGUGCUGGACAAAUCCCUCAAAACUUGCAUAAAGUGGAGGCCUCAUCUGAAAACAACGCUGCAAGCAGUGGUUCGAGUGACCCUGUGAUAUCUUCGCAGAAAAAUAAGGAUUGCAGCGAGAAAGGGCGUGAUGCCCAAAGCUCUUGUACGACCCCUUGCUUGGAAGCUGAGAGUGCUCACAUGCAAAUUAUGCAGGGACUUUCACAGAUGAAGUAUAGGAGUGCUUCAAAUCUGAGCAACACGGAUAGAGAGGAGUUCGAAGAGUGUGCCAAAUUAGAUAAAAGCCCUGUAACUCCUGAGAACAAGACUGGAGUAUUUGUACCAGAAAGGUCGAACCAAAUGGAGUCAGACGGAGAACUGUGCAGUGGAGCUUAUAAUCCAACUUCUUUGAGACUGCUAGAAGAGCAUGCUUGUGCCAAGUCAGUGAUUCAAGAUGAAAAUUCGAGACCAGAAAAUGACGGGGGGCUUGCUAAUAGCUCCUUUGGCUGUGAUGAUGUUCCUUUUGAAUCCUCAAGUGGAGCCAUUGACUUGAUUGGUACCUUAAAUAAUGGUCCAAAGGCCACUUAUGUACACUCUAGUUUACAUUAUGGCACAAACAAGUUCGAAUUUGCUCCACAACUUGAACUCUCUCUCAAAAGAUUGUAUCCCAGGAGCUCAAAGAACCAGGGGGUAGAUGAAAGACAUGCACUGAACCAUUCCCAUGCCUCAGCCUUCUCAUGGUACAAUAGCAAGACAUUGCAACCUCCUUUUCCAGCAUCUGCCAGUAAUGGUUCUGAUUCCAAGGAAGAAGCCAGCAAGUCUCCUGAGCUGUCAUCCAAUCAACAUGCUCAAAACAUUAAUUCUAUUUCUCAGAGACAUGGUGCCACUUUGAGUGGGAAUCAAGAUAUGACCAUUCCAAUCAUUGGCCAAUCUGGGAAGGCUGAAUUAGCAUAUCCAAGCCCUCGAAAUGGAUUGAUUCCUGUUCGAAGGGGAAUGCUCAACAAUAUAUCUACCGAAUACAGUCAUGAUUUCUCCCCUCUAUAUUAUACUCAAUCAAGUGCAGCAUGGAGUCCCAAACUUGCUGGGUGGCAGCAGUCUCCAUAUCCUCUUAGUACCUCAAUUCAUUCAAAUCCUGAUAUUCAUGAUUCUGAGAAAAAUCACAGGUGUUCUGAUGAAACUACUUACAACUCUGUUGACCAAAAUGAUCAUCAGCAGAACAAUAAGGAACCUGUGGAUGAAGUGAGACAUGACUCACCUGCUGCUGGUCAGAGUACUGGAGGUUUAUGUAAUGAUUCUGUCAUUCAUAAUAAGAGCAGUGCAUAUGAAAGCUUUGGCAGUAAAGAUGAUGGAAUUGCCAAAGAGAAGGCCAUGGCUCAAGAGAAUUUGAAUGAUGGGGACAACUUCAAUCGUGAUGGUUUUAGAGGGAUGGAUUCCCUUCGCUCCAGCCAAAGAGAAGCUGCUCUAACAAAGUUCCGGCUGAAGCGGAAAGAUCGAUGCUAUGAGAAGAAGGUAUGUGCGACUUAUUGCAUAAGCAGAUAUUUUUCUCAUGUGCACCGAGGUGAUUCCAUCAACAGCUGCUCUGGACCUGUGUCAUAUAGCUGUCGUAUCUUAUCAUGAUCAUUACUUUAAAUUGUCAUCCUUUCAUCAACCCUUCCUAUUACUGAUUUACAUGUUGCCAUGAGUAAUUUGAACUAGCUUGGGAAUUUCAAUUUCAAGUGAACUGUAGCACAUGUAUCAUGGACAGAGACAGGAAAUCUUAGCAUUCAGCUGCUAAGAAUGAUGUGUUAUUCCCUGUGGUUCGAUACCAAAGCCGGAAAAGACUGGCAGAGCAACGUCCUCGGGUGAAAGGACAGUUUGUUCGUCAAGUGCAAAAUGAUUCCCCCACUUGCUAAUAGUUGACCAUGAAAUUCAUCAUCACACGCCUGUUUAUUGCUAUCAUGUGCCUUGACCUUUUGGAAAUAAUGGCAUGACUAUGGUGAGAUAAGAAUGUGUUUGCAAGCUUCUUUACCUUUGGGUCUAAUGACAGUAUGGUUCUAACUGUAAUUUUUGGGUCUAUUGAAAGGGUAGACUUGUAAUUAUGGGGUAAGGCUAUCUGAAUCCUCUUCUACUCUGGUUAUUUUGUUUGCUUGCUCAGUAGAUGACUGACUUAUAGUAGUUAGAGAGCUUUAAUAGCGUGGUAAUUUUGCGUUGAUAGUAUAAAAAUGGGCUUGUUUAUUAAGUUAGCUAUGUCAGUAUUGUAUCAUAUGAUUGCUGAGCAGCUUCCACAGUGUCCGUCUAAAAUUUAUGUACUCAUCAACCUUGCUUUCUGUUGCUCUUCUAUAAAAUAUGUUUGAAUUCCUGGUGAGAUUUGUAGAUAAACUUUUAUUUUGAUCAAUCAAUUAGGAGAAAGUGGAUGCUAUUGCUAUU